AGACCCGAAACCCGGUGAUCUAGCCAUGGGCAGGUUGAAGGUUGGGUAACACUAACUGGAGGACCGAACCGACUAAUGUUGAAAAAUUAGCGGAUGACUUGUGGCUGGGGGUGAAAGGCCAAUCAAACCGGGAGAUAGCUGGUUCUCCCCGAAAGCUAUUUAGGUAGCGCCUCGUGAAUUCAUCUCCGGGGGUAGAGCACUGUUUCGGCAAGGGGGUCAUCCCGACUUACCAACCCGAUGCAAACUGCGAAUACCGGAGAAUGUUAUCACGGGAGACACACGGCGGGUGCUAACGUCCGUCGUGAAGAGGGAAACAACCCAGACCGCCAGCUAAGGUCCCAAAGUCAUGGUUAAGUGGGAAACGAUGUGGGACGGCCCAGACAGCNCAUGGUUAAGUGGGAAACGAUGUGGGAAGGCCCAGACAGCCAGGAUGUUGGCUUAGAAGCAGCCAUCAUUUAAAGAAAGCGUAAUAGCUCACUGGUCGAGUCGGCCUGCGCGGAAGAUGUAACGGGGCUAAACCAUGCACCGAAGCUGCGGCAGCGACACUAUGUGUUGUUGGGUAGGGGAGCGUUCUGUAAGCCUGUGAAGGUGUGCUGUGAGGCAUGCUGGAGGUAUCAGAAGUGCGAAUGCUGACAUAAGUAACGAUAAAGCGGGUGAAAAGCCCGCUCGCCGGAAGACCAAGGGUUCCUGUCCAACGUUAAUCGGGGCAGGGUGAGUCGACCCCUAAGGCGAGGCCGAAAGGCGUAGUCGAUGGGAAACAGGUUAAUAUUCCUGUACUUGGUGUUACUGCGAAGGGGGGACGGAGAAGGCUAUGUUGGCCGGGCGACGGUUGUCCCGGUUUAAGCGUGUAGGCUGGUUUUCCAGGCAAAUCCGGAAAAUCAAGGCUGAGGCGUGAUGACGAGGCACUACGGUGCUGAAGCAACAAAUGCCCUGCUUCCAGGAAAAGCCUCUAAGCAUCAGGUAACAUCAAAUCGUACCCCAAACCGACACAGGUGGUCAGGUAGAGAAUACCAAGGCGCUUGAGAGAACUCGGGUGAAGGAACUAGGCAAAAUGGUGCCGUAACUUCGGGAGAAGGCACGCUGAUAUGUAGGUGAAGUCCCUCGCGGAUGGAGCUGAAAUCAGUCGAAGAUACCAGCUGGCUGCAACUGUUUAUUAAAAACACAGCACUGUGCAAACACGAAAGUGGACGUAUACGGUGUGACGCCUGCCCGGUGCCGGAAGGUUAAUUGAUGGGGUUAGCCGCAAGGCGAAGCUCUUGAUCGAAGCCCCGGUAAACGGCGGCCGUAACUAUAACGGUCCUAAGGUAGCGAAAUUCCUUGUCGGGUAAGUUCCGACCUGCACGAAUGGCGUAAUGAUGGCCAGGCUGUCUCCACCCGAGACUCAGUGAAAUUGAACUCGCUGUGAAGAUGCAGUGUACCCGCGGCAAGACGGAAAGACCCCGUGAACCUUUACUAUAGCUUGACACUGAACAUUGAGCCUUGAUGUGUAGGCUAGGUGGGAGGCUUUGAAGUGUGGACGCCAGUCUGCAUGGAGCCGACCUUGAAAU
rnacentral:rRNA from 1 species